UAUAAUGGGUCAGCGACUUAUAUUCUGUAGCAAGGUUAACCGUAUAGGGGAGCCGCAGGGAAACCGAGUCUUAACUGGGCGUUAAGUUGCAGGGUAUAGACCCGAAACCCGGUGAUCUAGCCAUGGGCAGGUUGAAGGUUGGGUAACACUAACUGGAGGACCGAACCGACUAAUGUUGAAAAAUUAGCGGAUGACUUGUGGCUGGGGGUGAAAGGCCAAUCAAACCGGGAGAUAGCUGGUUCUCCCCGAAAGCUAUUUAGGUAGCGCCUCGUGAACUCAUCUUCGGGGGUAGAGCACUGUUUCGGCUAGGGGGUCAUCCCGACUUACCAACCCGAUGCAAACUACGAAUACCGAAGAAUGUUAUCACGGGAGACACACGGCGGGUGCUAACGUCCGUCGUGAAGAGGGAAACAACCCAGACCGCCAGCUAAGGUCCCAAAGUCACAGUUAAGUGGGAAACGAUGUGGGAAGGCACAGACAGCCAGGAUGUUGGCUUAGAAGCAGCCAUCAUUUAAAGAAAGCGUAAUAGCUCACUGGUCGAGUCGGCCUGCGCGGAAGAUGUAACGGGGCUAAACUGUGCACCGAAGCUGCGGCAGCGACACUAUGUGUUGUUGGGUAGGGGAGCGUUCUGUAAGCCUGCGAAGGUGGCCUGUGAGGGUUGCUGGAGGUAUCAGAAGUGCGAAUGCUGACAUAAGUAACGAUAAUGCGGGUGAAAAGCCCGCACGCCGGAAGACCAAGGGUUCCUGUCCAACGUUAAUCGGGGCAGGGUGAGUCGACCCCUAAGGCGAGGCCGAAAGGCGUAGUCGAUGGGAAACAGGUUAAUAUUCCUGUACUUGGUGUUACUGCGAAGGGGGGACGGAGAAGGCUAUGUUAGCCGGGCGACGGUUGUCCCGGUUUAAGCAUGUAGGCGGAGGUUC
rnacentral:rRNA from 1 species